AUUGAACGCUGGCGGCAGGCCUAACACAUGCAAGUCGAACGAGUGGCGGACGGGUGAGUAAUGUCUGGGAAACUGCCUGAUGGAGGGGGAUAACUACUGGAAACGGUAGCUAAUAACGCAUACCAUCAGAUGUGCCCAGAUGGGAUUAGCUAGUUGGUGGGGUAACGGCUUCCCAAGGCGACGAUCCCUAGGUGGUCUGAGAGGAUGCCCAGCCACACUGUAUCUGAGACACGGUCCAGUGUCCUACGGGAGGCAGCAGGGGGUAAUAUUGCACAUUGGGCGCAGGCCUGAUGCAGCCAUGCCGCGUGUAUGAAGAAGGCUUUCGGGUUGUAAAGUACUUUCAGCGGGGAGGCGUUACCCGCAGAAGAAGCACCGGCUAACUCCGUGCCAGCAGCGCGGUAAUAC
rnacentral:rRNA from 1 species